rnacentral:misc_RNA from 1 species
GAUGAAGAACGCAGCGAAAUGCGAUACGUAGUGUGAAUUACAGAAUUCAGUGAAUCAUCGAAUCUUUGAACGCACAUUGCACCUCUCGGUAUUCCGGGAGGUAUGCCUGUUCGAGCGUCAUUUGUACCCUCAAGCUCUGCUUGGUGUUGGGUGUUUGUUCCGCCUCUGUGUGUGAACUCGCCUCAAAACAAUUGGCAGCCGGCGUACUUGUUUCGGAGCGCAACACAUUUUGCGAUCCAGAUCAACGUACAGCGGCAUCCAAGAAGCCUUAUUUAACGCUCUUGACCUCGGAUCAGGUAGGGAUACCCGCUGAACUUAAGCAUAUCAAUAAGCGGAGGA